rnacentral:rRNA from 1 species
UACGGAGGUGGCGAGCGUUGUUCGGAAUUAUUGGGCUUAAAGCGCGUGUAGGCGGGACCGAUAGUGUCGGGUGAAAGCCCUUGGCUCAACCAAGGAAUGGCUUGGCAUACUGCGGUUCUUGAGGCAGGUAGAGGUCGCUAGAACGACGGGUGGAGCGGUGAAAUGCGUAGAUAUCCGUUGGAAUGCCGGUGGCGAAAGCGGGCGACUGGACCUGUCCUGACGCUGAGACGCGAAAGCGUGGGGAGCAAACAGGAUUAGAA